rnacentral:rRNA from 1 species
UGAGGGAAAGGCGAAAAGAACCCCGGCGAGGGGAGUGAAAAAGAACCUGAAACCGUGUACGUACAAGCAGUGGGAGCACAGAGCAAUCUGUGUGACUGCGUACCUUUUGUAUAAUGGGUCAGCGACUUAUAUUCUGUAGCAAGGUUAACCGAAUAGGGGAGCCGAAGGGAAACCGAGUCUUAACUGGGCGUUAAGUUGCAGGGUAUAGACCCGAAACCCGGUGAUCUAGCCAUGGGCAGGUUGAAGGUUGGGUAACACUAACUGGAGGACCGAACCGACUAAUGUUGAAAAAUUAGCGGAUGACUUGUGGCUGGGGGUGAAAGGCCAAUCAAACCGGGAGAUAGCUGGUUCUCCCCGAAAGCUAUUUAGGUAGCGCCUCGUGAAUUCAUCUCCGGGGGUAGAGCACUGUUUCGGCAAGGGGGUCAUCCCGACUUACCAACCCGAUGCAAACUGCGAAUACCGGAGAAUGUUAUCACGGGAGACACACGGCGGGUGCUAACGUCCGUCGUGAAGAGGGAAACAACCCAGACCGCCAGCUAAGGUCCCAAAGUCAUGGUUAAGUGGGAAACGAUGUGGGAAGGCCCAGACAGCCAGGAUGUUGGCUUAGAAGCAGCCAUCAUUUAAAGAAAGCGUAAUAGCUCACUGGUCGAGUCGGCCUGCGCGGAAGAUGUAACGGGGCUAAACCAUGCACCGAAGCUGCGGCAGCGACACUGUGUGUUGUUGGGUAGGGGAGCGUUCUGUAAGCCUGUGAAGGUGUGCUGUGAGGCAUGCUGGAGGUAUCAGAAGUGCGAAUGCUGACAUAAGUAACGAUAAAGCGGGUGAAAAGCCCGCUCGCCGGAAGACCAAGGGUUCCUGUCCAACGUUAAUCGGGGCAGGGUGAGUCGACCCCUAAGGCGAGGCCGAAAGGCGUAGUCGAUGGGAAACAGGUUAAUAUUCCUGUACUUGGUGUUACUGCGAAGGGGGGACGGAGAAGGCUAUGUUGGCCGGGCGACGGUUGUCCCGGUUUAAGCGUGUAGGCUGGUUUUCCAGGCAAAUCCGGAAAAUCAAGGCUGAGGCGUGAUGACGAGGCACUACGGUGCUGAAGCAACAAAUGCCCUGCUUCCAGGAAAAGCCUCUAAGCAUCAGGUAACAUCAAAUCGUACCCCAAACCGACACAGGUGGUCAGGUAGAGAAUACCAAGGCGCUUGAGAGAACUCGGGUGAAGGAACUAGGCAAAAUGGUGCCGUAACUUCGGGAGAAGGCACGCUGAUAUGUAGGUGAAGUCCCUCGCGGAUGGAGCUGAAAUCAGUCGAAGAUACCAGCUGGCUGCAACUGUUUAUUAAAAACACAGCACUGUGCAAACACGAAAGUGGACGUAUACGGUGUGACGCCUGCCCGGUGCCGGAAGGUUAAUUGAUGGGGUCAGCGCAAGCGAAGCUCUUGAUCGAAGCCCCGGUAAACGGCGGCCGUAACUAUAACGGUCCUAAGGUAGCGAAAUUCCUUGUCGGGUAAGUUCCGACCUGCACGAAUGGCGUAAUGAUGGCCAGGCUGUCUCCACCCGAGACUCAGUGAAAUUGAACUCGCUGUGAAGAUGCAGUGUACCCGCGGCAAGACGGAAAGACCCCGUGAACCUUUACUAUAGCUUGACACUGAACAUUGAGCCUUGAUGUGUAGGAUAGGUGGGAGGCUUUGAAGUGUGGACGCCAGUCUGCAUGGAGCCGACCUUGAAAUACCACCCUUUAAUGUUUGAUGUUCUAACGUGGACCCGUGAUCCGGGUUGCGGACAGUGUCUGGUGGGUAGUUUGACUGGGGCGGUCUCCUCCUAAAGAGUAACGGAGGAGCACGAAGGUUGGCUAAUCCUGGUCGGACAUCAGGAGGUUAGUGCAAUGGCAUAAGCCAGCUUGACUGCGAGCGUGACGGCGCGAGCAGGUGCGAAAGCAGGUCAUAGUGAUCCGGUGGUUCUGAAUGGAAGGGCCAUCGCUCAACGGAUAAAAGGUACUCCGGGGAUAACAGGCUGAUACCGCCCAAGAGUUCAUAUCGACGGCGGUGUUUGGCACCUCGAUGUCGGCUCAUCACAUCCUGGGGCUGAAGUAGGUCCCAAGGGUAUGGCUGUUCGCCAUUUAAAGUGGUACGCGAGCUGGGUUUAGAACGUCGUGAGACAGUUCGGUCCCUAUCUGCCGUGGGCGCUGGAGAACUGAGGGGGGCUGCUCCUAGUACGAGAGGACCGGAGUGGACGCAUCACUGGUGUUCGGGUUGUCAUGCCAAUGGCACUGCCCGGUAGCUAAAUGCGGAAGAGAUAAGUGCUGAAAGCAUCUAAGCACGAAACUUGCCCCGAGAUGAGUUCUCCCUGACCCUUUAAGGGUCCUGAAGGAACGUUGAAGACGACGACGUUGAUAGGCCGGGUGUGUAAGCGCAGCGAUGCGUUGAGCUAACCGGUACUAAUGAACCGUGAGGCUUAACCUUACAACGCCGAAGGUGUUU